rnacentral:tRNA from 1 species
ACUUAGAUAGCUUAUAUGAGAGCACCACACUGAAGAUGUGGGGGAGGUAUUUAUUGCCUUUAGGUA